rnacentral:rRNA from 1 species
GACAGAGGUGCCAAGCGUUAGGCGGAAUCACUGGGCUUAAAGCGUGUGUAGGCGGAUGUCUAAGUACCUUGUGAAAUCCCACGGCUCAACCGUGGAACUGCUUGGUAUACUGGAUGUCUUGAGCCAUCUAGGGGCUACCGGAACAAAUGGUGGAGCGGUGAAAUGCGUAGAUAUCAUUUGGAACGCCAAUGGUGAAAACAGGUAGCUGGGGAUGUGCUGACGCUGGAGACACGAAAGCCAGGGGAGCAAACGGG